GGUGGCUCAGUGGUAGAGCGCUUGCCUUGCAUGCAUGAGGCCCUGGGUUUGAUUCCCAGUACCA
rnacentral:tRNA from 1 species